AUGUCGACGAAGCGGAAGGUUCGGAGGAUACAGCUGGAGACAGGCUGUCAACAACAAAGUCCCACUCAUCACACCUCUCUUUCUUCCUUUCAUUCCCAUUUCUCUCAAUCGAUUAGGGUUUUCUCAUCCACUCUCCCAACUCGAUCAACAUUAUCAUCACUAUGCUUGACUUGGGGGAUAAAUCCUAGUGCAUUUCUGCUGUAG